AACCCCCCAUUUCAUUCUUAUCUCUCUCAAGCCCAAACCCUAGCCGCCCUAGGUUUCUCUCUGUCGCUCUGCCAUCAACCACCCGCCGGGAAUCGCCUCACGGCGGUUCCGGCGCUCCAAUCCACCCCAAAUUUACACCCCAGAAUCUUUCUCACCUCCUCAUUCCAAAUCUCCCAUUAGUUUCUUUCAAAUCUUUACCAAAAAUCUCAAAUUUCAAAUCCGAGAUUCAUGCCCAAAAAACCUAGGUCUCCAAACCCACCCAAAUUCGCACCCUAUAAACUCCCCACUCUCCUAAACCCAAAUCCCUUGUUGAGUUCCCCCAAAACACCCUUAAAUUACUUGGGUUUUAGAUCUAAAAGUGGUCUGAAACAUCAAGCUCCCUUUUUCUCAAAUUUUCGGGUAAUUUUAGCAUGCUUUGAGUCAAAACUAACAUUGUUAAUGGUUUUUGUCAAGAGCCAUUGAUUAAUGUGAGUUUCGACUCAUUUCGGAUUUGUCAAGACCCAGUCAAUUUGCCUUUGACUGGACAGAAUGCAUCCGAAGUCUAGAGUUUUCCGUUUUCAGAAGGUAUCUUCUUCUCUCUUUUCUAAAAUUGUUAGAAGUUUAAUUUUGUUUUUAAUUUAAUUCAGGAUUAAUUGAUGGAAAAUCUUCUGAAUCUGGAUUUGUUCCUUUGUGAUUUCUGUUCGUUCCCUGAUUAAUUUUUCCUUUCAUAUUUGUUUCCUUACUUAGUUUGCAUGUUUUAGUUUAGAGUAAUUUUAUGUCAUUAAAUUUCUGUUAAGUCUUUCAUCCCAAUAGAUAGCUUCAAUAAGUUUGAACAAUUUUCGUUUGAGAUUCGUUGGGUUUUAGAUGUGAGUGUUUCUAUUUUCUGAAUUGGUUUUUGGUUAAAUAUAUUUAAGGUUUGCUUAAAAGGUCCAAAGGCUUAAUGAUUUUUGUUUGUUCAAUCUGUAUUUCGAUUUGUUUUUUUGCUUGAAUGCGUUAGACUUGAUUUGUGAAUAAAAAAACUUAGGAGGGGUUAAUGGAACAAUAAAAAACUUAAGGGGGGUAAUUUGGAAAUUUAGAAAUGGGAUAAGGUAUCUAGAAUGUUCUGUGGCAUGGACAGUGGGUGUUAUUCUGCCAGUACAAGCUGCUGAAGCCAAUUAGAAUUGGCCAGCUGUCCAAUUGCUAUUAGAAAAAGAUGCUUUGUGAGGGGUAUUUUGGAAAAAUUCUUAUUCCUUGGCUUGGUAGGCACACAACAGAUUUUGGGGAUAAAUAAGGCACUAUCCUUACUCUCUACACACGAAAGACAGACCCUAAAAAUCUUUCAAAGAAAUCUCAAAUGGUAGGCUCUUCUUUUUCUUCCAGUUGAAAAAAAACUGAACAAUCCUGCUUGGUAUCUCCGAGUUUUUGGAGCUCUUUUUGACUUGAUACUGAAGCAGUUUAUUGGUUAUUGCUGCCUUUCUCUCUACUGCUGAAUUUUCUGUUUUGUAUUUGGUAUUUUGGAGCAAAAUUUCAGGCAUCAAGGUACACACCAUGGACUUAUUCCAAAUCGAAAGUAAUCUUGAUCUAACAUGAAUGCUAGAAAUGCUGUUUGAGUAAUAAGAUGUAUAUCUCUGUUAAUUCUAUGUUUCUUAUGCUUAAAAACAUGCUUUAUUGUGUUUCAAAUGCAUUAUUUGAUAUCUGUUGGGCCUGAGUUAUAUGUACACUACUUUAUUGAUCAUUCACGCCUAAUACUUUGCUUCAUGGGCUGAGUUUUAUGUGUUAGCCAGUAGUCAGCAUGUGUGUAGCAUGGCUCUUGGUAGAUCUAAUCUCAACAUGAUCAGAUCCAUGAGAGUUAGAAGCUGAAAUCAAUAUUACUCAUGUGUGGGAAGAGCUGGAAGCUUUAUGGAGGAUUACGAUUUUAAUAGUUUAGGUUAAUUCUGUUUGCUAUUUCGUAGGACAAGUCUUGUUUAAUCUUUAUUUACUAGUUUAUUGUUCUUCAAUGGCUCAAACUCUUGUUAAAUAAACACUGAGCCUACAUGUAAGUAAAUGUGAUGUAUAAAGAAGUUGUGAGGUUCAGAAAUGAAUGCCUCUGGUAGUUUUAUUUUGAUGUAUUAGACCUGCUGGAAAUCCAAAGUAGUUGCAUGAUGAUUUAUGUAUUGUUGGUUUCUGGAUUGUGCCUCUAUUUUGUUUUGCCAUGUUGGGCUCAAUUUCAGACCCAAGAAUAUUC
rnacentral:lncRNA from 1 species